GACGAACGCUGGCGGCGUGCUUAACACAUGCAAGUCGAGCGGUAAGGCCCUUUCGGGGUACGACGAGCGGCGAACGGGUGAGUAACACGUGGGUGACCUGCCCUCAGCUCUGGGAGUAAGCCUGGGAAACCGGGUCGUAAUACUGGAUAUGACUCCAUGACGCAUGUUGUGGGGUGGAAAGCCUUGUGCGGCUGAGGAUGGGCCCGCGGCCUAUCAGCUUGUUGGUGGGGUGAUGGCCUACCAA
rnacentral:rRNA from 1 species